rnacentral:rRNA from 1 species
GACGAACGCUGGCGGUGUGCUUAACACAUGCAAGUCGAACGGUAAGGCCCUUUCGGGGGUACACGAGUGGCGAACGGGUGAGUAACACGUGAGUAACCUGCCCUCAUCUCUGGGAUAACAGUCGGAAACGGUUGCUAAUACUGGAUAUGAGCCUGCAAGGCAUCUUGUGGGUUGGAAAGAUUUUUUGGUUGGGGAUGGACUCGCGACCUAUCAGCUUGUUGGUGAGGUAGUGGCUCACCAAGGCUUCGACGGGUAGCCGGCCUGAGAGGGCGACCGGCCACAUUGGGACUGAGAUACGGCCCAAACUCCUACGGGAGGCAGCAGUGGGGAAUAUUGCACAAUGGACGGAAGUCUGAUGCAGCAACGCCGCGUGCGGGAUGACGGCCUUCGGGUUGUAAACCGCUUUCAAUUGUGACGAAGCUUUUUGUGACGGUAGCAGUAGAAGAAGCACCGGCUAACUACGUG